CUACGGGCGGCUGCCGUGGGGAAUAUUGCACAAUGGGGGGAACCCUGAUGCAGCAACGCCGCGUGGAGGAUGACACAUUUCGGUGCGUAAACUCCUUUUAUAUAAGAAGAUAAUGACGGUAUUAUAUGAAUAAGCACCGGCUAACUCCGUGCCAGCAGCCGCGGUAAUACGGGGGGUGCAAGCGUUACUCGGAAUCACUGGGCGUAAAGAGCAUGUAGGCUGGUUAGUAAGUUGGAAGUGAAAUCCUAUGGCUUAACCAUAGAACUGCUUCCAAAACUACUAACCUAGAAUAUGGGAGAGGUAGAUGGAAUUUCUGGUGUAGGGGUAAAAUCCGUAGAGAUCAGAAGGAAUACCGAUUGCGAAGGCGAUCUACUAGAACAUUAUUGACGCUGAGACGCGAAAGCGUGGGGAGCAAACAGGAUUAGAUACCCUCGUAGUC
rnacentral:rRNA from 1 species